UCCUGGAUCGUCUAAAGGCAGGACACCUGUUUCUGGAACAGGUAAUCGGGGUUCGAAUCCCUGUCCGGGAACCA
rnacentral:tRNA from 3 species